GAUGAACGCUGGCGGCGUGCCUAAUACAUGCAAGUCGAGCGAACAGAUGAGGAGCUUGCUCCUCUGACGUUAGCGGCAGACGGGUGUGUAACACGUGGAUAACCUACCUAUAAGACUGGGAAAACUUCGGGAAGCCGGCGCUAAUACCGUAUAAUAUAUUGAACCACAAGGUUCAAUAGUGAAAUACGGUUUUACUGUCACUUAUAGAUGGAUCCGCGCCGCAUUAGCUAGUUGGUAAGGUAACGGCUUACAAAGGCAACGCUGCGUAGCCGACCUGAGAGGGUGAUCGGCCACACUGGAACUGAGACACGGUCCAGACUCCUACGGGAGGAAGCAGAAGGGAAUCUUCGGCAAUGGGCGAAAGCCUGACGGAGAAACGCGGCGUGAGUGAUGAAGGUCUUCGGAUCGUAAAACUCUGUUAUUAGGGAAGAACAAAUGUGUAAGUAACUAUGCACGUCUUGACGGUACCUAAUCAGAAAGCCACGGCUAACUACGUG
rnacentral:rRNA from 1 species